rnacentral:rRNA from 1 species
AGACAGGUGCUGCAUGGCUGUCGUCAGCUCGUGUCGUGAGAUGUUCGGGUUAAGUCCCGCAACGAGCGCAACCCUUGUCUUUAGUUGCCAUCAUUAGUUGGGCACUCUAAAGAGACUGCCGGUGUCAAACCGGAGGAAGGUCGGGGAUGACGUCAAGUCCUCAUGGCCUUUAUGACCAGGGCUACACACGUACUACAAUGGCCGGUACAAAGGGCAGCCACUUAGCGAUAAGGAGCCAAUCCCGUAAAGCCGGUCUCAGUCCGGAUUGGAGUCUGCAACUCGACUCCAUGAAGUUGGAAUCGCUAGUAAUCGCAGAUCAGCACGCUGCGGUGAAUACGUUCCCGGGCCUU